rnacentral:lncRNA from 1 species
UGCCUUCAGGAUAGCGCUCAUUCAAUAAACGCUUAUAAGUAUCCUGUCAUCAUGUUAACAAUUAAAUAGUUAAAAAUAAAUUCUGUAAGCAUUGAUAAACAAGAUCAAGUUGUUAAAACUUAUUACUGCUAUCUGGAUAGCAUCAGGCUGACCAUCACGGGUGGCCACGUACACAUCCAGCCAAUGGAUAGGCUGACCUUGAGACUGAGACUCCUAUACAAAAAAUAGCACAAUAUUACUAAGUAAAAAUGUGAUAUAUUUUCUACAAUUCAUGAUUGUAAACAUAUUAAAACUUGUAAAUACGUACCCUGGCAGUGAUAUGCUGCAACUAUGAAAUACUGACGCCCUUGUAUGUUCCUUUAACCUUUUCGCCAUCGGGUACACCCGAGGAUCUGUUGGUGGAGGCAGUCUUUCGUCUUUUCACCCAGCUCUCAGCUCUCCAUUGGGCACACAUCUCAGCCCAUAUGGACUGGGUGCACCACCAGGGGCUAUGCUCGUGCAUGUAAUCCUCUCCCUGGCCUAGAUGGUCGAUCU